CCUACGGGGGGCAGCAGUGGGGAAUAUUGCGCAAUGGGCGAAAGCCUGACGCAGCGACGCCGCGUGAGGGAUGAAGGUCUUCGGAUCGUAAACCUCUGUCAGCAGGGAAGAACGGUCACUGUGCUAAUCAGCAGUGAAUUGACGGUACCUGCAAAGGAAGCACCGGCUAACUCCGUGCCAGCAGCCGCGGUAAUACGGAGGGUGCGAGCGUUAAUCGGAAUUACUGGGCGUAAAGCGGUCGUAGGCGGUAUGUCAAGUCAAGGGUGAAAGCCCCGCGCUCAAGGUGGGAACGGCCUUUGAAACUGGCAAACUGGAGUGUGUGAGAGGAUAGUGGAAUUCCAGGUGUAGGAGUGAAAUCCGUAGAUAUCUGGAGGAACAUCAGUGGCGAAGGCGACUAUCUGGCACAUAACUGACGCUGAGGAGCGAAAGCGUGGGUAGCAAACAGGAUUAGAUACCCUUGUAGUC
rnacentral:rRNA from 1 species